rnacentral:rRNA from 1 species
UACGUAGGGUGCGAGCGUUGUCCGGAAUUAUUGGGCGUAAAGGGCUCGUAGGCGGUUUGUCGCGUCGGGAGUGAAAUCCACUGGCUUAACUGGUGGCUUGCUUUCGAUACGGGCAGACUGGAGGUAUGCAGGGGAGAACGAAUUCCUGGUGUAGCGGUGAAAUGCGCAGAUAUCAGGAGGAACACCGGUGGCGAAGGCGGUUCUCUGGGCAUGUCCUGACGCUGAGGAGCGAAAGUGUGGGGAGCGAACAGG